UUUCUGGUUGAUCCUGCCGGACCUGACUGCUAUCGGAUUGAUACUAAGCCAUGCGAGUCAUUGUAGUAAUACAAGGCAUACGGCUCAGUAACGCGUAGUCAACCUAACCUAUGGACGGGAAUAACCUCGGGAAACUGAGUAUAAUGCCCGAUAGAACAUUAUGCCUGGAAUGGUUUAUGUUCCAAAUGAUUUAUCGCCGUAGGAUGGGACUGCGGCCUAUCAGUUUGUUGGUGAGGUAAUGGCCCACCAAGACUAUUACAGGUACGGGCUCUGAGAGGAGUAGCCCGGAGAUGGGUACUGAGACACGGACCCAGGCCCUAUGGGGCGCAGCAGGCGAGAAAACUUUGCAAUGUGCGAAAGCACGACAAGGUUAAUCCGAGUGGUUUCUGCUAAAGGAACCUUUUGUUAGUCCUAGAAACACUAACGAAUAAGGGGUGGGCAAGUUCUGGUGUCAGCCGCCGCGGUAAAACCAGCACCUCAAGUGGUCAGGAUGAUUAUUGGGCCUAAAGCAUCCGUAGCCGGAUCUGUAAGUUUUCGGUUAAAUCUGUACGCUCAACGUACAGGCUGCCGGGAAUACUGCAGAUCUAGGGAGUGGGAGAGGUAGACGGUACUCGGGAGGAAGGGGUAAAAUCCUUUGAUCUCUCGAUGACCACCUGUGGCGAAGGCGGUCUACCAGAACACGUCCGACGGUGAGGGAUGAAAGCUGGGGGAGCAAACCGGAUUAGAUACCCGGGUAGUCCCAGCUGUAAACUAUGCAAACUCAGUGAUGCAUUGACUUGUGGUCAAUGCAGUGCUGCAGGGAAGCCGUUAAGUUUGCCGCCUGGGAAGUACGUACGCAAGUAUGAAACUUAAAGGAAUUGGCGGGGGAGCACCACAAGGGGUGAAGCCUGCGGUUCAAUUGGAUUCAACGCCGGGG
rnacentral:rRNA from 1 species